GAUGAACGCUAGCUACAGGCUUAACACAUGCAAGUCGAGGGACCGGCGCACGGGAGAGUAACACGUAUACAACCUGCCCUUUACUCGGGGAUAGCCUUUCGAAAGAAAGAUUAAUACCCGAUAUAAAGGAUGGGGAUGCGUUCAAUUAGGUUGUUGGUGAGGUACCGGCCUACCAAGCCUUCGAUGGCUAGGGGUGCUGAGUGGAAGGUCCCCCACAUUUGAACUGAGGCACGGACCAAUCUCCGACGGGGGGCAGGAGUAAGGUAUAUUGGUCAAUGGGCCGUAGCCUGACCCAGCCAAGUAGCGUGAAGGAUGAAGGCUUAUGGGUCGUAAUCUUCUUUUAUAUAAGAAUAUUUAUUAUAUGAAUAAGGAUCGGCUAACUCCGUGCCAGCAGCCGCGGUAAUAC
rnacentral:rRNA from 1 species